AAGUCCAUAACUAUAUUUGGUAUGUACUUGACCCGACCCGGCAUGGUCCAUUUGGGUUGCACUUCACCGACACAAUUUAUAUGGAUAAUCUUUUGAGAAUAGUAUGUUUAUGAUUAAUAUUAAUAUAUUAUAGGUUCUAAUAUAUUAAUAUGGAAUCAUGUUAUUUAACUAGUAUUGAUCAAGAAUUAAUUUAUAAUUAAUUAAGUGAUCAAAAGGAACUAAUUAAAUAUGGACUCUUAUAUAUAUGGUAUGGGCCAAGUUCAUUUAGGUUGGGCUAAGCUUUCAUGGAUAGUCCAUGGAGUGUUUAACCCUUGGAUCCUACGAAAUGAAAGGCCAUGGGUAUUAGGGUUUAUCCCUAAUCCUCCACACUAUAUAAAGAUGUCCUUGGUUGGUGAAAUUGGCACUAGUGUGGUACACUAAGAAGGGCUAGCCAAUUUCACUAGAGAGAACCAAGUAUCCAUAUUCUCUAAAGUCUUCCAAGGUGUUUUGGUGAUUUGUGAUUCCAUUUGAGGCUUCCACACUAUUGGGGCUAAGCUCUUAAAGCUUGAAGACAUCAAGCUACAUCAAAAGGUAUGUCAUCUAACUAGUACUUUGUAGAAUAAGAACUUCAUAAUAUGCUAGUUAGGAUUAAAGCCUUGGAAAGUUCUUAUUUGCAUGUAUUAUAGAGAAAACAUAGAUCCAAGGUUUAUAGGGUUGCAUGUACACCAUAGGAGUGUUAGAAUGCUCAAAACCCAACAGUGGUAUCAGAGCCUAGGCUUGUUUUCUUGUUAUACUUGCAAAACUGCUUAAAAAAUCGAAAUUGUUGCUGUCUGAUCAUCAGACUCGGCGAGUCCAUCAGGAGACUCGGCGAGUCCAUGCCUAAAAAGUGAUCAAAUCGAUCCAACUCGCCGAGUUGGUUCAUGCACUCGACGAGUUGGACCCCCAGACAGCAUAAAUUCGACUUUUUUGGCUGGAAUUGGACUAGGAACAUUACCCUAAGAUGUUUUUGAACUUAUAAACUUGUUUUUGAUGUGGUAAUGUUCAUGCUAAUCCAAUUUCAAAGAUAAUUGUCAAUAGAUUCAUGUUUUGUAUUAGUUUAAGGUUUAGACUAAUUACAUGAAAAAGUUUGAUUUGAAUUAUCUUGUUCUUAUGAGUUGCUUAGAUUAAUAGAAAAGUUGAGUGAAAUAGUUGUUUUCAAUCCAAAUUAAUCUAAGAGUUGAUUCUAAAAUGUGUUUUUGUAACUUGUCCUCAAGUUAUAUGAAAAGUCACAUUUAAGUUUCAUAAAACUCAUAAAAGUUGGCAAAGGUUACAAAAUGAAGAGUCUAGUUCUAAUUAAAUGGUUUUAUGACUCCAUAAUUUGUCCUCAAGUUAUGGAGGACCAAGAGUCUCUUCAUUAAAUAAUAAAUAAAAAAAAAAGUGUAACCUUAAUUAAUUCCAUAAGUUAUAAAAUAAAGAAAAGUUAAUUCUUUUAUUAGUUUAAAGUCUUCCAUAACUUGUCCUCAAGUUAUGGAACUUGAAGAGUUUUUGGAUUAAAACUACUUUAAACACAUAAGUUAUGGAAUUAAUUAGUUUUGAAUAGUUUCAAAACUUGCCCUCAAGUUUUGGAAUUUGUAAAGUUUUCACUUAUGAAUACUUUAAUUCCAAGUUAGCCCUUAGAAUUUUAAAAGUUAAAAUUCAACCCUUAUACUUUAUAAUAUUAUAAGUUAAUAAUAUAUAUAUGUAUAAGAGUAAAGUCAGUCUUACCGCUAGUACGCCUCAUUCACGAAGCCGGUCUAUAAGGUGGGUAUAAGGUUGUUGCCUAUAAAAUGGCAACUUAAUGGGUGUCCACUCUCACCCACCGCUUGCUUGACUGGUGGAGGGUCGUUAGCCGAACGGGUUUGACAGGACUAGAAUUCUCCCUUCAUUAAAAGUAUUAAUGAUAAUACUAAGUAACUAAACUCUUAAUAAUACCCAAUCUUAGUUACUUAGGAAAAAUGUGAAUAAGGUGCUAACCCAUGAAAUUACACUUUACACUUUGUCUAAGUCGUUAGUGGAGCGUGUGUGGUUAACCGGCACACUAACUUGGACUUAACAAGGUAGGUAAAGGGUGACUUAAUAUUUAUCAUAGUAUCGAUGGAGCGUGUGUGGUUAACCGGCACAUCGAUUGAGGGGUAAUUUAUUAAGGGUACCAAGUGAUUUGCAUGGUUACUUCACACCUUGUUUUGUGAUCCUCGGCAUCCCAGUCACAAAACCUGAAGGGCACACUCGAGAUUGAAACAUGCCUUUGAAAAGUUCAAUGAAUCUCAAAGAUCUAGGAGUUUCAAAACCAAUUAAAACCUAAUAAUACAUUUCGUUUAUCUUGGUGGAAAUUGGUGAAUCGUCAUUCACCUACCUUCAAAUAUUUUAUAGCUUGGAUUACGGCAUACCUCUUCUAAGUUAUAAAAUAGUUUGUUGGGUCCUAGCCUUAAUAUUUCAUAUUGGGUGUCAUAUUAAGGACUUAAGAUCAACUCUCUUGAAUGUCUCCCAAAAGAUGUCUGGUUUAGACAUUUAUGAUCUUCCCAAAUCUCUUGAAACAAGCUUUCCUAAAUGAAGAUGAUGUCCCAUGGAUAUCAUACUUCUUUCUCCUCCUCCAAUUAUUCUCCCUAACCCACAAGUUCAAGGUCACUCAAGCCCUAUUGGCAAGGCAAGGUCUAGGUGUGAUCACAUCUUGGAGAUGUAGUCAAAUAUUGACAAGCCGGGAGAGUUGGGUGUCAAAGUCUUGAGAAAGUUAGUGGUUCAAUCACUUUCUAAGUCACAUAGUGAGUUCCUUUUGGACACCUAUGAAACAGACUAUGACAAGACCCUUAAUGAUCAUAUCUAUUUGUUAAGAUCAACUUCCUUAAAACUUGAUGGACAUUGACAACAGUGACACAGGAAAACCAGAAAAGCAUUCUCUUCCCAAUGGAAAGGGAUCAGCCAUAGUCAACUCGGCUGACCAAAUGGUAAAGAGAAAAGCUAAGUCUGUGAUAGUCCCGUGUACCAUUAUCAAAGGGUCCAUAUGUUUAUAUUGCCAAAGAAAGGGGCAUUGGUUGCGAAGCUGCCAAAUUUACCCAAGGAGGUUAAAGUCAAUAAGUUUGACUAUACUUCAGGUAAAGUCCACUAUCUAACUCUGCUAUGUUUCUAUUCUGAGAAUCUUAUUACAUGAUGUGACUAGGUCAUAUGUUGAUGUUUUAAGAAUCAAUGAAAAGUAAAGAAACUUAAAGAAAGAAUAUGCAGAAUCUGAUAGCAUAGAUGGAUUUCUAUCGCGUAGUUUGAAUAUUAGAUUCUUGAGCUACUUCUUAGGAGUUAUGAGAUAUUGCUUAGGAAUAGAUAACAACAAGUUUUCAUAUGGAUUGUAAGGACAAGUUUUUCCGCAAAGUUUUAAAAUAAAAGAAAAUUUUUUAUUUUAUUUAUUUUUAAAAUAUCCUUACAAUGGCAUUUGAGGAAAAAUUGUUUCUUAUAAGAUUCCAUCAAUAGCAAGAGUGGAAUUAUGAAAUUGAUUCUUUCAUUUGUGGUAAUGUCUAAAUUUACCAAAUAAGGAAAGAUUCUCAUCACCCAGGUUUCAAUUUGACCGAAACUUGGAAUCAUGCAAGGUGUAUAGCAUGAUGAAUGAGAACUUUCAAGUAUUGGAAAAAUUAAGACUAAUUACUCGUUCACAUGGAUGUGUGAGUCAAGUAAUGGACUAAGGGAUCGAGUACAUAGUCUUGUGCACUGAUUAAGUCCACCACAAAAGAUUGAUAAGACUAUUCGUCAUAGUUUACUAAAGCUCAGUAAAUAUGAUUAUACUUACAAGCUUAAGUGUAACUCUGAGACAUUGGAAAAGGUUCCAAUGUAUGGCAGAGCGAAUAAGAAGAAUCAAAUUAGGCAGAAGGAUAAAAGUUUCUCAAAUCUGAAAAGAUGGGAGAGUACUUUAGUAUCAGGUUUUGUGAUCAUCUUAAUGAUUAAGAAACCAUAGCACAAUUAGUUCUCUAAGGAAAUCUUAGUGCAUUCUUAUGACUAAGAAGAGGGAUCUUGAAUUGUUGAAAUGGUUAAAUCAAGAAGAUGAGUCAUACUUCGUUCCAAUACAAGUCUUAGAGUCAUACUCCAAGAUUGUAACUUGAGUGACAUGUCUUAAAGAAGGUUUAAAACACUUGUCAAAUGUAAGAGUAAAAGUUUUCUACUCUUGUACAUUUGAAAUUGGUAAGUUGUGAUGUUUUGGAUAAAACAAAGACCAACUUAGGCCAAUUGUGUGAAGUGUUUGUCUUGAUUAGAAUCCACACUAUCUCUUGGAUAUUUGACAAGGGAGUCUUAUAGGUCAAGAGGACAGUGGGAGUCUUAAAGGUCUUGAAAGUCUCAAGAACUAAUCAAGAAUAAAACCUGAAGUUCUUCACUAGCACACGACUUGAGGUUUAUAACCUAUCGUGUUGACAUAUUCUGUGCCCAUUCCAGUUAAAGUUGGCUUUGCAUAUGAGUUCUUAGAGUUCUCAAUUUGUUGCACAACAACUUGGAAGCAAUGGCAGGCCCUUGAGCUGCCAGGUGGCAAGAAAUUAAGAUUGAGUUCAAUCCAUAUGGUUUUGGAUUUGUCAUUAUCUUUGUCUUGUGAUUAUGGUUUGACAAAUUCAUAUGGGUAGGAACUCAUACACCAUAUAAAUCUAAGUGUCAUAAGGUUUCUCUCCGAUUCAUGAAAAUGAUGGUGAGGAAACACUUUCACUAAGUAGAUUUUACCUAGAUAGCAAUUGUGAUAUUUGCAUUCUCAAAGUCGUUAGUGGAGCGCGUGUGGUUAACCGGCACACUAACCUGGACUUGUGAGAAGUGGCAAAAAGGUCUAACCAUUAUGAUUACGGCAUACCUCUUCAUAAUUGUUUAGACUCACAAGUGUGCUAUCUAAGGGAAGGUGUAUGAUUUUGAUAAAGUUUUAUCAAAACAAUCUAGUAUCAGAAAUCUGAACUUUGGUAAGAAAGUCAAUGAAGUAUUGAUUUCUAGAAGUCCAGCUGAUUUCUGAGUACAUGUCAAAGCUAGUGGGAGCAUAAGUGUUAUGCUAAUAAUCAUCAUGUUAGUGGGAGCAUGAUAAUUAUGAUAAGUAUUGCAAGUUAGCAAUGUUAAUUAUAGAAAACAAAAGUUUCAAUUGGGAAAAAGUUGUUUUGCUAUAAUUAAGGGAGAGGAAAUUAUGCUUCAUCUCAAAUCUAUAAGCUUAGAUCGUGAGGUUUUAAUCAUUUAGUCAAGGAUAUAUAUGAAUUUCAUGUUGGAAUGGCUCAACAUAAGGAAAUUCUGUAUAUGGGUCCAUUAUUUGCGUUCUAAAAUUCGAUUAUGAUUACGGCAUCCCUUUUCAUAAUCUGAAUUAUGAGAACUUGGCAAAUUGAAAUGGAAAUAUUAUAGCAAAAGACUGGUUUAGUCUUUAUGUAAGACAUCAUGAAUCGUGUCCCAUAUGCUUCGGAUAUAGGAUCGAUUACAUGUGCUAUAUUCAUCCGUUCUAAAAUUUUCCAAAUGCCUGGGGCAUUAAGAAGGGAAAAGGUUUAGAACUGGAUAUGACUAAAAGGAUUAAACAAUUGUCGAGGACAAUCUAAGGUUUACCAAAGAUUGGUUGCUCAAGGACAAUUGGAAGUAUAGUGAUAAUUCUGGAAGGACCAUAUUGACAUAAUCUGUAAGGAGGCAACUCUUGUUCAGAAGUGAUAGUCAAAAUGGAAUCUGGAAAUGUUUCAAAGUUAGAAUUUUCAAUCUGUGUAAGAUUAAGGAAACUUAAUGCAAGAAGGAUAUUUCCAAGGAGUUGAUCUCCUUUGGAAUACUCUGUAAUGAUUGUUGCCAAGUCUUUGUGACUUUGUGCAUAAUCAUUACAAGAGGAUCAAUGCAUAUAAGUUUAGAAUCUAACAGAUUUCAGUAAAUGGCAUGAAUUUGGAAUUCUUGCAUUUGCAGUAAGGAUUUGGGAGUGUGAAAAGAGAAUCAUUGAAGUUAUGUUCAAUUGAUCUAGUUCACAAAGUAAAGAUCAUAGACAAACAUAGUAUGCAUACUUGGUGUGUGGCAUGACUAGUGUUUAAGAAAACAUAGUGUACAUGCUUGGAGCAUGGGACAACUAUUGUUUUAAAUUAGAGAAUAAAGUUGAUAGUUGAAACAUAAUACAAUGAAUAAUGUGUAAUCAUAUGGUGAUAAAUAAAAGGUGUUUUAUUUAUGUUCAAAGGGUUGAUACCAUAUUGGAUUCAAUUAUUAUUGUGUUUCACUUUGCAUGUUUUGACUUCCCGAAUAAACUAGGUUAUUCUUCCGGAAUGACUAAGUUAUUCAAACCAUCCACAGUCGGUCAUAUGUUGGAAGUAGAUAUGAAUUAAGACUGUCAUGGGUUGGCUUGUAGAGGUCUAAGGUGUUGGACAAAGGGCUACAACACUCAUGAGUGCUCAUAAGUUCUGAGUAUUGGAUUCAACCCGCGCUCAUUGGAAUCACUUCAUGGAUUUUAUCACGAGUGAUCAUGAGACGAUAAUAUCUUAUAUUCUUCAAACCUAGAGAUAUGAGUUGUUACUAUGAGUUGGUUGUACAUUGAUUGCACGAAAACGCAUUUGGUAACUCGGUGCUAUAAAACGUGCCUUUGUGUAUGAUUCAACAAGUAGUAGAACAAGCCAUAUGAGUCGAAGUUUAUCCAUUCCUUUUACCUUCGGGAUAAAAGCGAUAUCUGUGGGCCCCUCGAUGAUUUGAUGAUGACAAAUGGAAGUGCUCGGCCGGGCCAGGACUGAUUUGAUUUGUUCAAUUAGUCAGUCGUCAUAAAUCGGAAAUCGGGAAACAACAAAUGGACAGAGAGAAUGAUUAUAAUCCAUGUCUCAGUCCAUAUGAUAUCUUGAAUGGAGGAAUAUAUGAUCCCUUAUCUAAUCGACAAGUUCGUUGACAAGAUAAGAGUUUGACAGCGGCUUUAAGAGCUACGAUUGCCAGUUAGGUUUGAAGUCAUACGCAAUAAUAGUUUUAGACUUAUCCAAGUGGGAGACUGUUGGAUUAAUGUCUAAGUCCAUAACUAUAUUUGGUAUGUACUUGACCCGACCCGGCAUGGUCCAUUUGGGUUGCACUUCACCGACACAAUUUAUAUGGAUAAUCUUUUGAGAAUAGUAUGUUUAUGAUUAAUAUUAAUAUAUUAUAGGUUCUAAUAUAUUAAUAUGGAAUCAUAUUAUUUAAUUAGUAUUGAUCAAGAAUUAAUUUAUAAUUAAUUAAGUGAUCAAAAGGAACUAAUUAAAUAUGGACUCUUAUAUAUAUGGAAUGGGCCAAGUUCAUUUAGGUUGGGCUAAGCUUUCAUGGAUAGUCCAUGGAGUGUUUAACCCAUGGAUCCUAGGAAAUGAAAGGUCAUGGGUAUUAGGGUUUAACCCUAAUCCUCC
rnacentral:lncRNA from 1 species